rnacentral:rRNA from 1 species
AUGCCACUGCCGACGCCGAUAGUCGAUGACCCUGACUACGCCGCAUUCAUGGAGAACAUCAUCUUCGAGGGCCGUGGUGAGGCCUUCCACGUCGACGGUCAAGGCCAAGCUUUCGAUCCCGCCACGGCCGAAAGCCAGGAUGCCUGCGGCCAAUAUGGUGACACCCAAUUCGCCGGCCAUGAUGAAGAUGAGGACGACCAUGGCAACUCAUGGCAUGAAGAUGAUGACAUGUAUUGUGAAGAUGAGGAAGAAGAGGUCGACAUUGCGGAGGAGCCCUUGUUUAUCGAUGAGCUCACCCAAAGGGCCGAAGCACAAAAGAAGAGGCAAAGCAUUCGCACGGGAUAUACACCCAAGAGGGGGACACUUUAA